UACGUAGGAUCCAAGCGUGGUCCGGAUUUACUGGGUGUAAAGGGUGCGCAGGCGGACUUGUUAGUCAGAGGUGAAAUCUCACUGCUCAACAGUGAAACUGCCUUUGAUACUGCAGGUCUUGAAUCCAGAAGAGAGUUGUGGAAUUCCGAGUGUAGCAGUGAAAUGUGUAGAUAUUCGGAAGAACACCAGCGGCGAAGGCAGCAACUUGGUCUGGUAUUGACGCUCAGGCACGAAAGCAUGGGGAUCAAACAGG
rnacentral:rRNA from 1 species